rnacentral:misc_RNA from 1 species
CGAGUAUAUUGCAAGUUGAUGGUAAGUAAAUCGAUAUCAUUACAUUGACAGAUAACCAGAUCAUUGUACAAUUGAAAUUAGUGCACGUUAUUACAAGGUCUCUUCAUCUGGAAGUGUGCAUCCUUCAUAAUAAAUUAGAAACAUCACAGGUCACGGCUAAUCAUUGUAUGAUUAGUCUAGAAAUACUAAUCUAUUCACAUUAUACAUUCUAUGAGCCUUUCAGCAUACAAGCUGAAUUGCCCCAGCAAUGAAAGUUGGAAAGAUAACUUGCCUACAACAUGUGUCACUGCUUAGAAUGCAAGUCUAUCGGUUCAACAAAUCGAGAUCUCCGCCUUCUCUUACCCUCAGGAGUGCACCUUACACCACUAACCUUCCCAAGCUUCACAGAAAACUUG